CCGCUUGUCCUUGUCUCAUAGAUGAGGCAAAGUCUUCAGAAUCCUAGCUUUCUGUAGUUUAUUUCCAGCUCUCUGAAUGCCCUGGGUUCAUAAUCCAGACUCCUUUCUUUAUAUGAGCAUUAGAAUCAGCCAUGGAAAUUUAAACAUUGUUCUGUGUUUUAAUGACUUUCCUGGCCUUAGCUCAUACUCUUCACUUUGACUUUAAAUCCCUUCUUACUUUAUGGCCCUGAGGAGAUUUCCUUUAGAUGCUGAGUUUGACUCUUUAUAUCUAUUUGAAUUGUAUUGUGAGAGGAGAGUGCGUAAACUACCUCUCAACACCCUGGCUGAGACGUGGAGCCUGGUAGGAUAUAUCACAGAUCAAGAAUUCAGAAGGAGGAACCUGGGUCCUGGGGAGGGGGAGUCAGAGCUACCAUUUACUGCACAUUUAUUACAUGUCAUCCUCACAAUGCUUUCAGACACCUGUGCUUACAAGUGAUAGAAGUCCAACUGAAAUGGCUUUGGAAGAGAAAGAAAGAGAAAAAGAAAAGAUGGAGACUGAGGUAGGUCACAGAAGAUAAGAAUGAGCAGCUGGAACAAGCA
rnacentral:lncRNA from 1 species